rnacentral:rRNA from 1 species
GCUAACCAUGCAGUCGACGGUGUCUUCGGACACAGUGGCGGACGGGUGAGUAACGCGUGAGAAUCUACCUUCAGGUCGGGGAUAACCCCUGGAAACGGGGGCUAAUACCGGAUAGGUCGAAAGAUGAAAGGUUAACUGCCGGAAGAGGAGCUCGCGUCUGAUUAGCUAGUAGGUGUGGUAAGAGCGCACCUAGGCGACGAUCAGUAGCUGGUCUGAGAGGAUGAGCAGCCACACUGGGACUGAGACACGGCCCAGACUCCUACGGGAGGCAACAGUGGGGAAUUUUCCGCAAUGGGCGAAAGCCUGACGGAGCAAGACCGCGUGGGGGAGGAAGGCCUUUGGGUUGUAAACCCCUUUUGUUAGGGAAGAAAAAAAUGACGGUACCUAACGAAUCAGCCUCGGCUAACUCCGUGCCAGCAGCCGCGGUAAUACGGAGGAGGCAAGCGUUAUCCGGAAUUAUUGGGCGUAAAGCGUCCGUAGGUGGCCCGGCAAGUCUGCUGUCAAAGACCACAGCUCAACUGUGGAAAGGCAGUGGAAACUGCAAGGCUAGAGUGCGGUAGGGGUAGAGGGAAUUCCCAGUGUAGCGGUGAAAUGCGUAAAGAUUGGGAAGAACACCGGUGGCGAAAGCGCUCUACUGGGCCGCAACUGACACUGAUGGACGAAAGCUAGGGGAGCGAAUGGGAUUAGAUACCCCAGUAGUCCUAGCUGUAAACGAUGGAAACUAGGUGUAGCACGUAUCGACCCGUGCUGUAUCGGAGCUAACGCGUUAAGUUUCCCGCCUGGGGAGUACGCACGCAAGUGUGAAACUCAAAGGAAUUGACGGGGGCCCGCACAAGCGGUGGAGUAUGUGGUUUAAUUCGAUGCAACGCGAAGAACCUUACCAGGGCUUGACAUGUCCGGAACCUCUGUGAAAGCAGAGGGUGCCUUCGGGAGCCGGAACACAGGUGGUGCAUGGCUGUCGUCAGCUCGUGUCGUGAGAUGUUGGGUUAAGUCCCGCAACGAGCGCAACCCUCGUCCUUAGUUGCCAGCAUUUUGGAUGGGCACUCUAGGGAGACUGCCGGUGACAAACCGGAGGAAGGUGGGGAUGACGUCAAGUCAGCAUGCCCCCUACGUCCUGGGCGACACACGUACUACAAUGCUGUGGACAAAGAGCAGCCAACCCGCGAGGGCGAGCUAAUCUCAUAAACCACGGCUCAGUUCAGAUCGCAGGCUGCAACUCGCGUGCGUGAAGGCGGAAUCGCUAGUAAUCGCCGGUCAGCAUACGGCGGUGAAUCCGUUCCCGGGCCUUGUACACACCGCCCGUCACACCAUGGGAGCUGGCCACGCCUCGAAGUCGUUACUCCAACCGUUCGCGGAGGAGGACGCC